UAUCCGUAGGUGAACCUGCGGAAGGAUCAUUAACGAAUAACUAUGGUGUCUUGGUUGUAGCUGGCUCCUCGGAGCAAUGUGCACGCCCGCCAUUUUUAUCUUUCCACCUGUGCACCGACUGUAGGUCUGGAUGACUCUCGUACUCCGGCGCGGAUGCGAGGAUUGCUCUCGGGCUCUCCUCGAAUUUCCAGACUCUACGUCUUUUUACACACCCCAAACGUAUGAUACAGAAUGUAGUCAAUGGGCUUGAUCGCCUAUAAAACACUAUACAACUUUCAGCAACGGAUCUCUUGGCUCUC
rnacentral:misc_RNA from 1 species